GAACUUCCUCACAGUCUGCUAUAAAGACUUGAUAUCAUGCUGUCAGUUGCAGCAGAAGAAGAGAAGCUCCCAUCAGAUCACCUUCAAUAGCAACCAUGUUCUCUGUAGCUCUGCUGCUGCUGCUGGCUGCUGGAUCCUGUGUGAAGUGUGAACAGCUGACCCAGCCAGCCUCUGUGACUGUGCAGCCAGGUCAACGUCUGACCAUCACCUGUCAGGUCUCUUAUUCUGUUGGUAGCUAUCGCACAGCUUGGAUCAGACAGCCUGCAGGAAAAGGACUGGAGUGGAUUGUAAUAGGAGGUGUUGGAUACACCACAUAUUACAAAGAUUCGCUGAAGAACAAGUUCAGUAUCAGCUUUGACUCUUCCAGCAACACAGUGACUCUAAAUGGACAGAAUGUGCAGCCUGAAGACACUGCUGUGUAUUACUGUGCCAGAGAAGAUUCAGGUUUCACCUUCUCUUUAUGUGAGAACACCUGA